UCUCACUAUAUUCCCUAGGCUGGUCUGGAACUCCUGGACUGAAGCUAUCCUCUUGCCUUGGCCUCCCAAAAUGUUGGAAUUACAGGCAUGGGCCACUACACCUGCCGAUCUGUGUCUUACAUGCUGCCAUCUUUGACCUGUGGCUCUUGGGGUGUGGGAGUCCCUGCCCAUUCAGCUGGGAGAUGUGCUGUGCUGAAGGACCCCAGGCACAGCUGGGCAGAUGUGCCUGAGACAGGUGUGACCAGGCAACUGAAAAGACAUCCCUAAGAGAAGACACAGCAAAGGUGUGAAAGGAACACACAUCCCUGACUGACCAGGUGGAACUGUCCAGCUGCCUGCUGUCUGGAACUGCUUCCUCCCAGACUAAGUGAGA
rnacentral:lncRNA from 1 species